UGCUCACAAUUGAUUGUGGGAGGCAUAUGUGCGUUGAAUGUUGAUCAACUGCUCUCUAAACCUCCCCCCCCCCCAAACCAAUUUUUAAAGGCAAAAGCUGUUCGCCAACAUUGGACAGCUGUGUAUUUUGUGGUGUAAAAAGAAAAAAAAAGAUGUGGUCGAUAAAAAUGUUAUAAUAUCCUAUUUUUCUAACUAUUCUUUCUCAGUCAUCUAAAAAGAAUAUCUUUUCCAUUGGGUAGAAUAGAAUAGGCCUACUUCCAAUAAGGUCGGUAUUUUCCGAGGAUGGCCGCUGUCAGGGGCAGACUCCUGAAUAAGAGCAGCCAACGUGGACGGUUUUAGAGAUUGAAGUCAAGACAAAUUAAAAGACUUAACGAGUAAGAAUAAUAAAGCAAACAAGUGGAGAAUUAUUCGGCAUUGUACUUUGAUUUACACAAUAUGGUCCAAUGGAAACAACAAAUUUCAAAAACUUUGAGAAAAAGUUUUACAAUAAAAAAAAAAAUGGGAGUAUACUUUUGCUUUAAAAAAUAUACAUGAUUAUUUAAGGCUACUCAAAUUGAUAAAAAACAACUGACCAGUGUUAAGAGUUGCCCGCACAAGUACUGUGUUAUAAAGUCAUUAAAUGCGAUUGCACACUUUA